CGGAGUCUCGCUCUGUCGCCCAGGCUGGAGUGCAGUGGCGCGAUCUCGGCUCACUGCAAGCUCCGCCUCCCGGGUUCACGCCAUUCUCCUGCCUCAGCCUCCCGAGUAGCUGUACAAUUUCUUAUCUACUUUAAAUCAUGCUUGGCUGUAACACACUUUAACCAAUGAAAUGUGCCCAGAAACAACCUGGGUCAUUUCCAGGCAAAGGCUCCAAGAGCCAGCUCCCACAGUCACCACAACAUUCUGGAAAGUGGCUGUGGCAUCAUCCUGGAAACACAGGAAUGACAGCACAGAGAACCCCCCUGGAAUCAUCCACUUCUCCCUGGUAUCUCUUAUUGGAGAAUGAUAUUUUAAACAAACCUGUGAGAGUUGGUGUGCUCAUUGCCACUGGGAUGCUACUGCUUCUAGGUUCUUUCAGCAGGCAGAGAUAGGAUAUAUAUAUAUAUAUAUAUAUAUAUAUAUAUAUAUAUAUAUAAUUUUUCUUUCCAGGAGACAGGGUCUCACUUUGUUGCUCAGGCUGGAGUGCAGUGGCACGAACAUGGCUCACUGCAGCCUCAACCUUCUGGGCUCAAGUGAUCUUCCUGCCUCAGCCCCCAAGUAGCUGGGACUACAUGCGCGCACCACCACACCCAGCUAAGUUUU
rnacentral:lncRNA from 1 species